rnacentral:ncRNA from 2 species
GCAGCACAUUUUGAAUUGGGCCGGCGCCCAAGCCAACCUGCCUACCCGGGCAAGGUGGAUCGCGAAAGCGGAUGUGGCUCCUGUAGGAGCAAACAAGCGGGCAAGC